GAUGGUUCCUUGCUUAUUUAACAGAGGCACUGAUGACUCCAUGACGAGUAAACCAAGUCUAUUGAAUGAAAAUGUCCCGAGCUCCUACUGCAUACCAGGCUGCGCUAGAGAACGCCAACUGAGACAAUCAGCAAACAUGAAAGCGGGAUUGCAACACCGGCUACUCCUCAGAUUGUUGUUGUUGUUGCUAUUUUUAACAGAACUGCAUCCUCAGACCAGAUGUUUGUUGGAGUGUCUGGGGAUGCCCAGUCUUGACAGUGGGGCAUUGGGCAAACAUGACUCUUAGCUAAACACCUAAUUCCCUAUAGCAUGAAAAUACUGGAAUUCAAAGAAAACUGGCCAGCCUUGUUCAACAGCCCCCUGGUGUUCACUUAGGCUUCCUUGAGAUUUAUCAAAGGAUUAUUAUAUGAGUCAGCCUUUUCCGUGUAACCAACCAACAAAAUCUCAGUGGCAUGUAGGCUCAGGGCUUCUCUCUGACAGAUCAGAGCUGGUGGCCCGAUGUGCAUAACCGAUGUAAAUAAUCAGUGAUUCUGCAGGUGCCAGG
rnacentral:lncRNA from 1 species